AGAGCCAAUCCGCCAGAAAACCAUGCAAUAUUCAGAAAAUCGUCCAAAUCGACAAUCACAACUUGACAAAUUUUUAUACAUCAUCUUAAUCCUUGACAUAAAAUAAAAGAAUUUGACCACUUAAUUUUUCCCAGAAUCGUAUCUAUUUUUAGUAACAGCCUCAUUUGCAUAAUUCUGUAAAUUCAUAAUGAAACCAAGGAAAAAUCCAACUUUUUUAUGUCUUUUAAGAAUGACCCAGAAGCAUAUUAAAUGGGGUAGUUGAGUUUUUAGAGUAAUGUCAGCUGAAACUCAUCCAUUUAACUAUGUUAUGAUCAAUACAAAUGAAAAUUUAAACGAUUUGGCACAUUGCCAGGAGCAGGGACACAAAGGCGGGGUUUUUCAUACAUGAAUUUACGCAGUUUUCAUUCGCUUCUAUCUUGCAAGACCCAUUCCGGAUUUGUUUGCAACUUAUAUUGGUUUUAACUAUGGGGUAUGUUUUAUAUCAAAACAAAAUAUUAAGCUUGGCAAAUGACUAUUAUAUGUUAAUGUAUGCCUUGGAAGAAUGGUGAUUUUAGUCCCAAAUUGACACAUUUUGAUUUUGAUUUUAAUUAAAUUCUAAACACAAUUGGUACUAAAAUGGCUCAUAAAAUCAUUCGAACAAGUAAAAUCAAUUUGUCUGAAAAAUGAAAUAAGACGUAUUUGUACUGCAAGUCCAAAAAUCAAUAAAUUGUCUGAAACCAGGGAGUCCAUCUUUUAUGCUCUUCCAUUGACUUAUCUCCCUUGGGUAAGAUCUCAAACAUGUCAGCUCCCAGUGAUGGUUUGGCAGACAAAUGUUUACAGUGAAGUUUGUGAAUUUAAUAAUCUAGGAUGAGCAUGUGGGCUAUCCCAGCCUUAUACAUCUACAUAUUACAAACUAUUUAAGAUAUCUGAAUGCACUAAAGACCAAAAUAGCAUUUCCAAAAAAAAUAAUUACUGCCAAGAAAUUUGACAAUCAUGAUAAUAAUUUAGUGAAUAAACAUGAUAAAUAUUGAUUGGAAAAAUAAGUUCAUGAACAGCAAAAAGUGUUUUUAGAUUUCAACGAGCAAAACAAAAGUAUUCUAAAUCAUUCUUCGUAAAAAAAAAAAGUGAGCGAGUGGAACCACCUUGCUGCAACAAAAUUGAGAUUGAGAGUGUCAAAACUGCUCUGGCGCACAAUCAAUAAAUCAACGACACUCUCUCUACCAUGGUAUUGAAACCAGCAUUGGUAACCAAACAUAUUCAUACAGAUACAGACUACCAUUCAUCUACAUUUAGGAAGUCUGAAUAAUACUGAAAACUAUGGUGUAGAAUUUCCAACAGGACUCCUUAUUUUAUAUAAGACAAGGAGUGGUUUAUUUUCCCAUGGUUGUUACAUCAUCUUGUCUUUGAAUAAGCUCGAAGUACAGGGACUUUUAUGGAAUUCAUUGACAUGAUAGUCAAGCAAGAUCAUGAAGAUGUCAACAUCUCGUCCAACCCUCUUCCAGCAAAGCCAAAGCUGACCAAGGAUCUUCACCCUUUCAAAACAGGCUGUAUACAGAACGAGUUAUUCCAGUAGGAACAGGGCUAUAUAUGUGCAAGCAAUGCUCAAUUAAGAUGAAUUUUUGUAAAAGUGACAAUAGCCAGGUCAAACUAAAUACAUGUAUAGAAGAAGACAUUGAUCUAGACUCGCAGCUAACCUUUCUGUCAGUGUCAACAACAACUGAACUUUCACAGUAGUCAACAUCAGAUUGGGAGACUGAUAAUGCUUCUAACAGAAACAAUUUCAACCAACCAAACAAGCAACAGAAACUUUCCAACUUUAAAACAUCAGUUAAAUCUUCCAUGGGAUGAUGUCUCAAAAAAUAACAGUUCAUCAUUUAUGGAGAUUUUAAUGUUAUGGUUUUUCUUUUACAAGAAAGUUAAUGUACACUUGUUUUAUAGUAAAACCUAUAGCCGUUCAAGUAUAAAAAAACACAUUCAACUUUAUUGAAAUUUGAAGAUUCAUAUGACUUAUUUUAAUUCUGUUAUCUCCGAGGAUGUGAUGUAGAGCAUUAUAGGUACAGUAAUCUUAACAGCUAUCCAAUUUCAUUCAAAAUUCUUUAUAAAUUUUGCACUGGUAUAUAUAGACUAAGUAAUUUGUUUUUCGUCUAGUUAUGGGAUUUAUUUUUAGCAGCAUUUAUGAUUUUCAUGUUUGUAUUGACCACAUUGCAGCAACAUAGAUAUAGGUACCUGGCAAAUCUUGCCUUGUUAGCAUACUAGGCUCAAAGGGUCAUAAAAAAAUUUCCAUCACUAAGUGUCUGUUAAAAUCAUCUGUUUACAGUUUUCACUUUUAAACCAUCAUCUUAAUAACUUUAGAAGAAGUGUCAUACAUAUAUAUAUGUAUACAAAAUUUAAAAACUUUUCAAUAUAUAUAUAUAUAUAUAUAUACUUUUUCACUCAUUUGGUCUUUUGGAAAAUGUUGUUUGUGCUGUAUUUAGACCCCUCUACCAAGAAAUUUGUUUUGCAUGCACACGUAUAAAAAUUGCGGUUUUUAUCCAACGCAAUCAUAGGUUUGAACGUUGUUUUCAUUUUAGACUUGUUUGUAUAUAUAUAUAUAUAUAUAUAUAUAUAUUGAUAAAAACUAUCAACAUGACAAGAUCUAAAUACCCAAAAUUUUUCUGAAAAAUUGGACAUAACAUCUAUGAGCUAUUGUCCCUGAAAUGUGUAAAUUUACAAAUUUUCACAGUUUUCUGCUACUAUCCGACAACUAUGUCAAUAUAUUAUAAGAAUAAAUUGCAAAAGUGGUCAGAAGAAACUUUUUUUUUACAGUCUGAACUUAUUCUGAAUUGUUUAACUUCUAAUUUAAAUUGAUUGCGUUUGAAAUAUGUGUUUUUUAUCGUUUUAGGUGCACAAUUUGUCAAUACGAUCUAUUUCGGCUCCUGGGAGCCUCUAGAUUUAUAAUGAAUAAUUUGUAUUUAUGUAUGAUUAUUUUCUUAAUGUAUUAAAUGAAACAUUAAUUAUUCUU